GGCUUGUUUAUGGAUUCGCUGUGAUUCAUGAAGGUUUGUAAGCAUGUGGGAGUAGGCUCCCUUAAAAACGUCGAGGUUUUAAUAAACGCAAAAGAAAACAAAUUAAGCUUCUUAGCAGCAAGAAACACUUCUGCUAACGUAGCAUUCGCUUGCUAGUAUAAACGUAAGCACUCACCUUACUGUAUUCUAUAGCGGUAAGCUUUGAGGUCAAGAAAUUAUAGAAUAUACUAUCUUGCUGCUAUUCUAAGCGAGGUAAUGAAUAUAGUAGAAUGUAGGUAGUCUUUGGUUUGCUUAUUCGCUUAGGGCUACCCAAAAUUAUGAAUAAGAUAAACAUGUAGAAAGCAAAUUGAAUUGGGUUAUAUACGGGAGUUCGAGUCUCCCCAGGUCCACCA
rnacentral:tmRNA from 1 species